GAUGAAGAACGCAGUGAAAUGCGAUAAGUAAUGCGAAUUGCAGAAUCCGUGAGUCAUCGAAUCUUUGAACGCACAUUGCACCUCUCGGUAUUCCGGGAGGUAUGCCUGUUCGAGCGUCAUUUGUACCCUCAAGCUCUGCUUGGUGUUGGGUGUUUGUUCCGCCUCUGUGUGUGAACUCGCCUCAAAACAAUUGGCAGCCGGCGUACUUGUUUCGGAGCGCAGCACAUUUUGCGAUCCAGAUCAACGUACAGCGGCAUCCAAGAAGCCUUAUUUAACGCUCUUGACCUCGGAUCAGGUAGGGAUACCCGCUGAACUUAAGCAUAUCAAUAAGCGGAGGA
rnacentral:misc_RNA from 1 species